AAGCUGAAGAAGCAAACAAGCUGAGAAAAACCUUUUCCCUUCUUCUAUGGCCUCUUUUCCAUUAAAAAACAACAACAAAACCACCACCCAAAGUAUUUCUUGUUACAAAAGCAGAUCAGCCAAGAAUACAUUCUUGCUCUGUGCACCAGGUCUGUUCUCUUCCCUGAAGACUCCUCUGAGUCUAGACCUGAACAUUUUCAGGAAGUGCUGCAGCAGCGUGUUCCAUUUGGUUUUUAAUGGCAAAGAUUAAACAGGUAUCGUGUCAUUUUAAUACAGUAUCGAACUGAAUAUUUAACAUUUUAAUUGGUGUUUUAAUGAGCAUUGCAUUGUUUGUAUUGAAAUGUUGCUUGAUGUUACUAAUGCUAAGUACAUGAGAUGGGCUAGAAAUGAUUUAGCAGCUAUUGUGGGAAGUGUUAGAUACUUUGAAUUGUUUAAGGAAUCUGCAGUUAGGAGUACAUGAGGACUUCAUUAAUCGCAGGUCCAGCACUCACGGUUUUGUGUAUCCACGCAGUUGGGUAAAGGCACCCAACCUUGAUAUAUGUGAUAAAAAACCGGAGGAGAAAGGGUUAACCCCACAUUUCUGUGGGUUGGGGGUGUCCGGAAAUUACUUUGGAGGUCAUUUCCAGCCACCAUUUUGAGUUAGCCAGAGAUUAGGAGCCAUUGUAUGGCUCUCCCUCUUUUUUAACCUGGAAAAAACUUGAUUUUUAGCCAAUUUUUGGCCAAUUAUUUCUUCUUGGGGAAGCAUUGCUGGGAUAUGUGGAAUGCAUGGAGCAUGGAUGGGCUCUUUAUUUUGUGUAUUUUUGUAGUGUUUAGCUCUUUAGCCCAUUUUUAGCCCAUUACCCUGCCCUUUGGAACCUAACCCCCAGAUUCCCAUUGCCCCAUUGCCUCAGGUUUCACGGUUCCAGUAUCUGCAGCAGUAGCCGAGAAGCGAACCCCCACAGAUACCAAGGUUUUUCCUUAUGGCAAAUCUGCCAAGCUGCUAUAUAUCUGCUGGUUUUACUUAGUGUGAAAUGAAAAUGCUGUAUUAAGAGUUCUGUGUCUGCCUGGAGUUAUUCUGUGUAAAUACUACAGAAGAAGGUCAUUCACUUGAACAGGUUUACCUGGGCUAGCAUAGCCCUAUCCAGGUAGACCUGGUUGUGUAGAGCACCAGGAUUGAGACCGAUUCUGGUGCUCCUCCACUGGGUUGCCCAAGCUUUGUGCCCAGGCUAAAUAUGAGGUAGAAGGGCAUUUGUGUCCUUCUAUCUCACCCCCAGUCGUGUGGAUGCCUGGGCUGCCUGCAUAGUGCCCAUAGAGCUGGGUAUAAUGAGUGCCUGGCAGAGGGUAAAUCCCCCAAUGCACCACACUCUGUGCAUGGUGCAUUGUGGGAUUUGGGAGGAUUUCCUUCUCCAGAAGACAGCUCUGCCGCUCACUGACCUGGCGCUCAUGUGGGCGCAUGAGUGGCAGAAUAAGAGGAAGCCUGCAGAUUGCCUGUGGGGAGGCAGGUUGGAGCGGUGAGAGAAGUAGUAAGAUUCUUACUUGGCUGGCACUGCCGCCAGUGCUUCCGCUUCCCCCCCUUGGUGCAGCACCAAGCUUGCGUGAUGCCUUUUUAGGAAGCUGCCCUCAUGGUAGUGUCAUGAUUCCAGUCUCUGCACAUCUGCGGAGGCUGGAACUGCACUAUUGCCACGUGGGCGGCUUCCUAACAAGGCAUAGCCACCCCGGUGCGAAGGGGCGGUGGCACCAGCAGCCACACCGGGCAGGUAAGAACCUUACUACUUUUUUUGCCGCCACACUCAGCCUCCCCUUAGGUUGAUUCAGGACCUGCUCCCCUUUACUUGUAAAGGAGAAUACUCACUGAAUUCCCCUUUACAAAUAUUAGCCACUCAAACUGCUGAAUCGGUUUGGUCAAAUGGACCGGACUGGCCGGCCGGUUCAACCAAACCGCUUCAGUAGCACAUGGUUUGGUUCAAAUUUGAAUCGAAUUGGAACUGAACUGUGAUUUUUGGUUCAUGCACACCCCUAGUCUUAACCCCUAAUGCCCUUAGUGGUCAAUAGGAUUGCUGGUGCAUGGAGCCAUGCAGGAGCUGCAUCUCCAACAUUAGGAGCCACAGUUGUGAGUCGCUCUUCUUCUUUCUCCCUCCUUCCCUGGACAUACUGAAUUCAGUCAACAUGAAGCCAACUGGAACGUUAUAUGGUGGUCGUCUCUGUUGCACCGUCAUUUGAAAUGGCUGUUACUAUAGAAAACAGCACUACCAGGAUCCACAAGAACAUCUUUGAGACAACUGAUGGCCUUCUGCAAACCAGAUUUUUAACACUGAGCCAUUUUUGGAAGGGCAGUAUAGAAAUCAAAUAAAUAAAUAAAUAAUCAGAUCAAUUAUUCAAAAAUGGCUUCAUUCCCAAGAGAAGCAGAAGAUCUUCCUCAGAUUCAAAUGUGUGAUUAUUCAAAUGUGUCAUAAUUAUUCAUUGAAAUGAAUAAAGUUUGAG